UAUUGCAAUGCCAACAAUGUUCAUUCCAGACUAGACGUCGUUGGUGUAAGACGUAGUUAAGAUUUGUUAUUGUGUUUUUUAAUUAUAUAAUAUCAAUAUGCUUCGCUGUUAUUCCUGAAGCUGUUUCAUAUGGAACUCCUGCAACUGAGCUGUAAAUAUUCCGAGAUCCGGAUUUACUAAAGGAAUUCAGUUAUCGAUUGGUUUGAUGCACGAUUGCCGGAAUCGAAAAAUGCCUGAUCCCGAUAAACUUAAUGUUCCCUGCUCCCGAUAGCUACUACCCUGUUCGAAGCACUGUUUGCCGCUUCCGCCACCCAACAUUCACGAUUCCUGGAACCGAGCAGCUGGUUAUUGUUACUGAAAAAAAAAUCCGCGCUACUCCCGACAGUAGCCACUCCGUCCCGACUUUGGCUCCAUUGACCGUUCCAGAUGCCCUUCAGGGUUUGAUAAAGGCGGAUAUGAAGGUGUCGAGCUUUCCAAUGGCGUUCCCAGUACAUGAUUGCCGGCCCCAGUUGGUUGCUAUAUGUGUUUUCACCCGAUCCAAAUUGUUUCCUGCACCGAUGACGUCGUUCCUGCCGCCCACGCUAUUGGCUAUGCAAACCAAUUCAAAAUCAAUAUAUUUUUUAUGUGUUUCCUAAUGCAUCCUAAUAAUAUUUGUUUUAGUAAUAUUUUAGAUGCAAUUUCAUUGCAUUGAUUCCUUCCGUAAAUUAAAGAAAAUAAAUUAUUUUAUUAGUCAAGUUGAA